UCUCCUCUUUUUCUUUUAGGUCGUUUAGCAGUUCCCCAACCAGCUUUCUCCCCGAGAAAGCCUUCCUAAGAUUCAAAGAAAAAGGUUUGAAGGUUGAUCUCUGGGAUCAGUGAUAGUUCGGAACCGGUUCAGAAUAGGUAAUUCCUUCACUUCAGUUGCACUAGUGGAUUGAAUAACCUUUUCUUUAGUUCUAACAAAGUGCAUGUGUUGUUGGUUAAUAAAAACACGAGUUUCGAGCUCAAGUGCUUGAUUGUUGACAAAUUCUUCUCUCAGCAGGGCACCUCAGGUAUCUAUCUAUAGUUUCCUGUCUUGAAGGGGGGCGACGCGGCUAUUUUCUUUAACAACACGUCAUUCAACGAAGUGUUUUCGUUAUUUGGUCAUCACUAAAAAGUUUAUAGUGAUAAAGUGAGCCUGGAGGCCAUUACCGCCACCGAAAUGGUUUCCAUGCUCCGUUGGAUGAUUUGACGAUAUCGCAGUAUCAAGCUAGAACGGUUUCAAUUUGUAGGACGGGAAAGAAACCUCAUCCUUUGGUGCACACUAACCGAUGAAGCUCAACCCUCUCUCGAACUGAGCUAUUUCCGCUUUUUCUAACAAAAAGUUCGAGUAGUUC
rnacentral:lncRNA from 1 species